UACAGAGGGGGCAAGCGUUGUUCAGAAUUACUGGGCGUAAAGGGCGCGUAGGCGGCCUGUUAAGUCGAACGUGAAAUCCCCGGGCUCAACCCGGGAACUGCGUCCGAUACUGGCAGGCUUGAAUCCGGGAGAGGGAUGUGGAAUUCCAGGUGUAGCGGUGAAAUGCGUAGAUAUCUGGAGGAACACCGGUGGCGAAGGCGGCAUCCUGGACCGGUAUUGACGCUGAGGCGCGAAAGCCAGGGGAGCAAACGGG
rnacentral:rRNA from 1 species